rnacentral:rRNA from 1 species
ACCAGACUCCUACGGGAGGCAGCAGUGGGGAAUAUUGCACAAUGGGCGAAAGCCUGAUGCAGCGACGCCGCGUGAGGGAAGACGGUCUUCGGAUUGUAAACCUCCGUCUUUGGGGAAGAAAAUGACGGUACCCAAAGAGGAAGCUCCGGCUAACUACGUGCCAGCAGCCGCGGUAAUACGUAGGGAGCAAGCGUUGUCCGGAAUUACUGGGUGUAAAGGGAGCGUAGGCGGGAUGGCAAGUAGAAUGUUAGAUACAUCGGCUCAACCGGGGGCUGCGUUCUAAACUGGCGUUCUUGAGUGAAGUAGAGGCAGGCGGAAUUCCUAGUGUAGCGGUGAAAUGCGUAGAUAUUAGGAGGAACACCAGUGGCGAAGGCGGCCUGCUGGGCUUUAACUGACGCUGAGGCUCGAAAGCGUGGGGAGCAAACAGGAUUAGAUACCCCCG